AUCUCUCAAGCUCAUCAUUGACAUACAGACUCGAGAUAUCACAAAGGUGUCGCACAACAUGAUAAGGGAUAAGGUGAGGGCACUAGAGUGAGUCGGCCACCCUCGUGGUUUGGCCGAAUCACCACUGGUCCACCUUGAUCACCAUCUUCUUCAAGAGCCAUGGUAUGUGCGCUCUACCUCUCUACUCCCUAGUUCAUGAGUUUAAAUGAAUCUCAUCUCUGAUCAUUAAGAAUUAAACUCAAAAUUAAAAUGAACCUUGGGUGAAAACAUGAUCCUUAUGGUUGGCAUCCAUGUUCUAUAUUCCUUUCUUGCACCUAUUUGCUUGUGAACCCAUAUCUUUAGGAAAACAUGCUACCUAGGUUUUUGAUGUUUGAGAUAUGGCAUGAUAAAAUGAACCUUGCUCUGUUUUGUCUAAAGUACUUGGGAAAUUUAUCUUGAAAAACAAUGACCUAGCUAGCUCCUCAAUGAUAUGCCUCCAUCCUACUGAAGCCAUAUGUUGAUCUUAUUUGAAAACCUACACACAUAUGUUGCUUGCUAUCAUGUUGAGCUUUACCAAAUUAUUGUGACCCUUGUGGAAUAUUUUUCAUACUUUCAUGAUCAAGAUCACGUACACCCUGCUUCCACAUACUAGACUUCUACACUGGAAGCUAGUAACAUCUCAUCCAUCCAUCCAGCCAAAUAAAACUCCACAUGUGUUGUGACCUCUCUCU
rnacentral:lncRNA from 1 species